AUCAAUGAAAGUUUGAAACAAACUGGAGUUUAGUGGUUUUGACAGUCUUAUAUUUUUGGUAGGGGACAAUUAGUGUUGAAUGCAAAAAAUAUGAGUAGGUCGAA